CGCCAGACUCCUACGGGAGGCAGCAGUGGGGAAUAUUGCACAAUGGGGGAAACCCUGAUGCAGCGACGCCGCGUGAGUGAGGAAGUAUUUCGGUAUGUAAAGCUCUCUCAGCAGGGAAGAAAAUGACGGUACCUGAAGAAGAAGCCCCGGCUAACUACGUGCCAGCAGCCGCGGUAAUACGUAGGGGGCAAGCGUUAUCCGGAUUUACUGGGUGUAAAGGGGGCGCAGACGGCGAUGCAAGCCAGGAGUGAAAGCCCGGGGCCCAACCCCGGGACUGCUCUUGGAACUGCGUGGCUGGAGUGCAGGAGGGGCAGGCGGAAUUCCUGGUGUAGCGGUGAAAUGCGUAGAUAUCAGGAGGAACACCGGUGGCGAAGGCGGCCUGCUGGACUGCAACUGACGUUGAGGCCCGAAAGCGUGGGGAGCAAACAGGAUUAGAUACCCGAGUA
rnacentral:rRNA from 1 species